UGGUAACCAGCGGAGGGAUCAUUA
rnacentral:rRNA from 1 species